AGAGUUUGAUCAUGGCUCAGAUUGAACGCUGGCGGCAGGCCUAACACAUGCAAGUCGAGCGGUAACAGAAAGUAGCUUGCUACUUUGCUGACGAGCGGCGGACGGGUGAGUAAUGCUUGGGAACAUGCCUUGAGGUGGGGGACAACAGUUGGAAACGACUGCUAAUACCGCAUAAUGUCUACGGACCAAAGGGGGCUUCGGCUCUCGCCUUUAGAUUGGCCCAAGUGGGAUUAGCUAGUUGGUGAGGUAAUGGCUCACCAAGGCAACGAUCCCUAGCUGGUUUGAGAGGAUGAUCAGCCACACUGGAACUGAGACACGGUCCAGACUCCUACGGGAGGCAGCAGUGGGGAAUAUUGCACAAUGGGCGAAAGCCUGAUGCAGCCAUGCCGCGUGUGUGAAGAAGGCCUUCGGGUUGUAAAGCACUUUCAGUCAGGAGGAAAGGGUGUGAGUUAAUACCUCACAUCUGUGACGUUACUGACAGAAGAAGCACCGGCUAACUCCGUGCCAGCAGCCGCGGUAAUACGGAGGGUGCGAGCGUUAAUCGGAAUUACUGGGCGUAAAGCGUACGCAGGCGGUUUGUUAAGCGAGAUGUGAAAGCCCCGGGCUCAACCUGGGAACUGCAUUUCGAACUGGCAAACUAGAGUGUGAUAGAGGGUGGUAGAAUUUCAGGUGUAGCGGUGAAAUGCGUAGAGAUCUGAAGGAAUACCGAUGGCGAAGGCAGCCACCUGGGUCAACACUGACGCUCAUGUACGAAAGCGUGGGGAGCAAACGGGAUUAGAUACCCCGGUAGUCCACGCCGUAAACGAUGUCUACUAGAAGCUCGGAACCUCGGUUCUGUUUUUCAAAGCUAACGCAUUAAGUAGACCGCCUGGGGAGUACGGCCGCAAGGUUAAAACUCAAUGAAUUGACGGGAGCCCGCACAAGCGGUGGAGCAUGUGUUUAUUCGAUGCACGCGAGACUUACCUACACUGACAUACAGAGACUUUCUAGAGAUAGAUGUUGCUCGGACUCUGAUACAGUGCUGCAUGCUGUCGUCAGCUCGUGUGUGAGAUGGUGGG
rnacentral:rRNA from 1 species